rnacentral:rRNA from 1 species
GGUUAAGCGACUAAGCGUACACGGUGGAUGCCCUGGCAGUCAGAGGCGAUGAAGGACGUGCUAAUCUGCGAUAAGCGUCGGUAAGGUGAUAUGAACCGUUAUAACCGGCGAUUUCCGAAUGGGGAAACCCAGUGUGAUUCGUCACACUAUCAUUACGUGAAUACAUAGCGUAAUGAAGCGAACCGGGGGAACUGAAACAUCUAAGUACCCCGAGGAAAAGAAAUCAACCGAGAUUCCCCCAGUAGCGGCGAGCGAACGGGGAGCAGCCCAGAGUCUGAAUCAGCUUGUGUGUUAGUGGAACGGUCUGGAAAGUCCGACGGUACAGGGUGAUAGUCCCGUACACCAAAAUGCACAGGUUGUGAACUCGAAGAGUAGGGCGGGACACGUGGUAUCCUGUCUGAAUAUGGGGGGACCAUCCUCCAAGGCUAAAUACUCCUGACUGACCGAUAGUGAACCAGUACCGUGAGGGAAAGGCGAAAAGAACCCCGGCGAGGGGAGUGAAAAAGAACCUGAAACCGUGUACGUACAAGCAGUGGGAGCCUCUUUAUGGGGUGACUGCGUACCUUUUGUAUAAUGGGUCAGCGACUUAUAUUCUGUAGCAAGGUUAACCGUAUAGGGGAGCCGAAGGGAAACCGAGUCUUAACUGGGCGUUAAGUUGCAGGGUAUAGACCCGAAACCCGGUGAUCUAGCCAUGGGCAGGUUGAAGGUUGGGUAACACUAACUGGAGGACCGAACCGACUAAUGUUGAAAAAUUAGCGGAUGACUUGUGGCUGGGGGUGAAAGGCCAAUCAAACCGGGAGAUAGCUGGUUCUCCCCGAAAGCUAUUUAGGUAGCGCCUCGUGAACUCAUCUUCGGGGGUAGAGCACUGUUUCGGCUAGGGGGUCAUCCCGACUUACCAACCCGAUGCAAACUGCGAAUACCGAAGAAUGUUAUCACGGGAGACACACGGCGGGUGCUAACGUCCGUCGUGAAGAGGGAAACAACCCAGACCGCCAGCUAAGGUCCCAAAGUCAUGGUUAAGUGGGAAACGAUGUGGGAAGGCACAGACAGCCAGGAUGUUGGCUUAGAAGCAGCCAUCAUUUAAAGAAAGCGUAAUAGCUCACUGGUCGAGUCGGCCUGCGCGGAAGAUGUAACGGGGCUAAACCAUGCACCGAAGCUGCGGCAGCGACACUAUGUGUUGUUGGGUAGGGGAGCGUUCUGUAAGCCGUUGAAGGUGGCCUGUGAGGGUUGCUGGAGGUAUCAGAAGUGCGAAUGCUGACAUAAGUAACGAUAAUGCGGGUGAAAAACCCGCACGCCGGAAGACCAAGGGUUCCUGUCCAACGUUAAUCGGGGCAGGGUGAGUCGACCCCUAAGGCGAGGCCGAAAGGCGUAGUCGAUGGGAAACAGGUUAAUAUUCCUGUACUUGGUGUUACUGCGAAGGGGGGACGGAGAAGGCUAUGUUAGCCGGGCGACGGUUGUCCCGGUUUAAGCAUGUAGGCGGAGGUUCCAGGUAAAUCCGGUACCUUUUAACGCUGAGGUGUGAUGACGAGGCACUACGGUGCUGAAGUAACAAAUGCCCUGCUUCCAGGAAAAGCCUCUAAGCAUCAGGUAACACGAAAUCGUACCCCAAACCGACACAGGUGGUCAGGUAGAGAAUACCAAGGCGCUUGAGAGAACUCGGGUGAAGGAACUAGGCAAAAUGGUGCCGUAACUUCGGGAGAAGGCACGCUGAUAUGUAGGUGAAGCGGUUUACCCGUGGAGCUGAAAUCAGUCGAAGAUACCAGCUGGCUGCAACUGUUUAUUAAAAACACAGCACUGUGCAAACACGAAAGUGGACGUAUACGGUGUGACGCCUGCCCGGUGCCGGAAGGUUAAUUGAUGGGGUUAUCCGUAAGGAGAAGCUCUUGAUCGAAGCCCCGGUAAACGGCGGCCGUAACUAUAACGGUCCUAAGGUAGCGAAAUUCCUUGUCGGGUAAGUUCCGACCUGCACGAAUGGCGUAAUGAUGGCCAGGCUGUCUCCACCCGAGACUCAGUGAAAUUGAACUCGCUGUGAAGAUGCAGUGUACCCGCGGCAAGACGGAAAGACCCCGUGAACCUUUACUAUAGCUUGACACUGAACACUGGUCCUUGAUGUGUAGGAUAGGUGGGAGGCUUUGAAGUGUGGACGCCAGUCUGCAUGGAGCCAUCCUUGAAAUACCACCCUUUAAUGGCUGGUGUUCUAACGUGGACCCGUUACCCGGGUUGCGGACAGUGUCUGGUGGGUAGUUUGACUGGGGCGGUCUCCUCCUAAAGAGUAACGGAGGAGCACGAAGGUUAGCUAAUCCUGGUCGGACAUCAGGAGGUUAGUGCAAAGGCAUAAGCUAGCUUGACUGCGAGAGUGACGGCUCGAGCAGGUGCGAAAGCAGGUCUUAGUGAUCCGGUGGUUCUGAAUGGAAGGGCCAUCGCUCAACGGAUAAAAGGUACUCCGGGGAUAACAGGCUGAUACCGCCCAAGAGUUCAUAUCGACGGCGGUGUUUGGCACCUCGAUGUCGGCUCAUCACAUCCUGGGGCUGAAGUAGGUCCCAAGGGUAUGGCUGUUCGCCAUUUAAAGUGGUACGCGAGCUGGGUUUAGAACGUCGUGAGACAGUUCGGUCCCUAUCUGCCGUGGGCGCUGGAGAAUUGAGGGGGGCUGCUCCUAGUACGAGAGGACCGGAGUGGACGCAUCACUGGUGUUCGGGUUGUCAUGCCAAUGGCAUUGCCCGGUAGCUAAAUGCGGAAGAGAUAAGUGCUGAAAGCAUCUAAGCACGAAACUUGCCCCGAGAUGAGUUCUCCCUGAGACUUUAAGUCUCCUGAAGGAACGUUAAAGACGAUGACGUUGAUAGGUCGGGUGUGUAAGUGUAGCGAUACAUUGAGCUAACCGAUACUAAUGAACCGUGAGGCUUAACCUU